UACAGAGGGUGCAAGCGUUGUUCGGAAUUACUGGGCGUAAAGCGCGUGUAGGCUGUGAUGUAAGUCAGGUGUGAAAGCCCUCAGCUUAACUGAGGAAGUGCACUUGAUACUGUGUCGCUUGAGUGUCGGAGGGGGUGGCGGAAUUCCCGGUGUAGAGGUGAAAUUCGUAGAUAUCGGGAGGAACACCUGUGGCGAAGGCGGCCACCUGGACGGACAACUGACGCUGAGACGCGAAAGCGUGGGUAGCAAACAGG
rnacentral:rRNA from 1 species